rnacentral:rRNA from 1 species
UACGGGGGGGGCAAGCGUUGUUCGGAAUUACUGGGCGUAAAGGGCUCGUAGGCGGCCAACUAAGUCAGACGUGAAAUCCCUCGGCUUAACCGGGGAACUGCGUCUGAUACUGGAUGGCUUGAGUUUGGGAGAGGGAUGCGGAAUUCCAGGUGUAGCGGUGAAAUGCGUAGAUAUCUGGAGGAACACCGGUGGCGAAGGCGGCAUCCGGGGCCAACACUGACGCUGAGGAGCGAAAGCCAGGGGAGCAAACGGG